GAGAUGAGUGGAGAGCCUUCAGGAUAGUCUUAAGUCUCUGAUCAAUGUUGUGCCUUUGGAAUGUCUUGGUGCCUAUGGUGCCUAUGGAAUGUCUUGCUUUCUUUCCUGCAGAGACUGAGAGCCCCUCCUGUCCCAGGGGUGCUGAGAGGUCUGUCUCUGGCUCCCCCACCGCUCCCAUGUCUCUGCUGGGACUGGACCUGUGCCUCCUGGGAUGACCCCCACCAUCCACCCCUAGGCACCAGGACUGAGUCGGCUCUGAAAAGAAAUGGGGAAUGAAGCUUUGGGACUUGGUUCCUGCCUUCAGGGAGCCAAUGGUCCAGCCAGGGGGAUUGUAGCGUGGGGCCCUGCAUGAAGUGCCUGUGACGGGAGAUGGAAGAACUCUGUCAUAUGUCCGUGAGAGUGAAAGGAACCUCAAGCAUUCAAGGAAACCAAACCGGUACCCAAGAUAGAUGAAGAGAUCAGGAAUUUACCAGGUCACAGAGGCUUCUUGGCAGCCACCUGCAGGAGACGGAUAACACCAUGGCCAGGGCCCCCAUGCUCCAUACCGUGUCUGUGACCUCCACAGACUCACUCCACAAUGUGACUUUGGGUAGGUCACAGUACCUGUACGGCCUCAGCUUCCCCACCUGUCAGAUGGGAAGAACAACAGCGCCCUCCCCAUGAAGCCAUCAUGAGCACCACACCAGGUUCACGUCAUGAGGGUCAGCAGGGAGGGCUACGCUGCAUCGUCCUCUCUCAUGACCAUGUCGGGGACAUCUGGAGCAUCACCUGCUUCCAGGCAGGGUGAAGGGAAUGUGGAAUCACUCGCUGACUCCUGCAUGCUUCAGCUCGGAAGUGGCACGCAUCUCUUCCACUCGUAUCUCACUGGCCAAAGCAGAUUACACAGCUGGGCCUAACCCCAAAUGGAAGAAGUGUAGCCCUUCCCUGUUUCCAGAAGAAGAGACAGGCACUGAUGGACAGGGGUGACAGCCUCCCCGCUGCUGUUC
rnacentral:lncRNA from 10 species